AACAUAAACCUUGACUUUUUUGUGUUUAAGUGUUAUAUUUUUGUGUCUACCCCUUUUGCAAAGUAACUGGCAAAGUGUUCAUUUCAGUUUGGUUAUUGACCUGUUUUAUUUUAUCCCGGAGAGUAUAGAGCAGGAGGUUUGGUUUUUUGUCUUAUACAGAUGGUAACGUCAACGUCCAGACUCCUGGUUAUUCUGGUGGAAUCUUUUAUCUGACAAUAAGUGAUAUUGUCUUAGUUUGCUUUUUUGUCAUAUAUUCUCUGCAAUUUUGUUUAAAAUUGGCAUGGUGGGUCUAAGGUGAGGAUCGAGUUUAAGUGAUGGAAUAUGGCUUAUUUAUUUGUCUUCUCCAAUGUUAGCAAAUAUUUUAGUGUUUAAGGUCCUCGCAGGCAUUCCUAUUCAAUUUUAAAAUUUGCAUCUUCAUAUAGUAGGCUUGAAAUUAUUCAUUUACAUGAUUAUGUGUGUUAAUAUAUCAUAUGGGUAUCUGAAUCCAUGGUUUAGGGGUGUUGCCAUGUUAUGUACCCAUUCGUUCUUGCUGAUGCAGUAGCAUGACUUGGGUUUUAAAUUUCACUUAAAUUUAAAAGCAAGUUACUGUUAUUAUGACAAAGUUGUUAUAUCGCUCAUAGGUUUCUGUUAGGUUCCUGGUCAAUCUUCGUUACUAUUAGAGUCCAGAAGUUGUAGCUCACCUGUUUUAUUCAACUCAGCAGUACCCACAAUUCUUUCAGGCAACUCAAUUGUCGACAGUGCAAAUAACAACCCAAACAACCACGCAAUCAAUGGAACAGAAAACACUUUGCAAAAGGAUAAUCUGCAAUUCAUUCAUUCAUUAAGGUUAAACCAAAAUUACAAAAGUUCAUUACAUUCAAAGAUCUGAAAACCCAACUGGAAAAUAUCAAACUCUACAAUGAGCAAACUAAGUAAUUUUCCUGCUUCCCUAGGAAAUUCUAGAGACCUAGUGCUCUCCCAAAACCAUCUUCCUCUUUUUCUGAAAUCUCUGAUGAUGUCCCUCCACAAACUCCCUCUUUCUUUAUAUUGUUACCAAUUGUCUUGCUUUCUGCUGGUGGUCCUGGUGGCUGUGUGCAUGCCCUCUGCUCCAAUCUUGUGAAGUGCUUUAUAUUGUUACCAAUUUUAGAUCUUUUUUCUCAUUAUUUAAUUUUUUUUGUAUGUGUGUGUAUAUAUAUAAAACAAAUAUGUCCAAUUCUCCUCUAGGUUAUGCUUUUUCGUUUAAAUUUAUUUUAAGCUUUUCUGGAUCAUUGGGUUAGAUCUGUUUGGAGAGACAAAAGAUCUAAAAUUUUCCCUUUUAAUCCAAACAAAAGAAAGCCAAGAAUUUUUUUCUUCCCUCAUUUGAGCUACAUGUUAUGAUUUUUACAGACAAGAUUGUCAUGUUUUGUUUUCAUUUAAUUAUUUUUGCAGAGGUGUGAAUUGGAUUUUUCUCAUUGUUACUUAUUUGAAGAAGUGAUUUAAAAGAUGAAUUAUGGGUUUUUGUUUCAUGAUACUGGGACAAAUUUCUGAACUGAAUUUGUUCCUAAAUUUUAAUUAUCUGGUUUUUUCAAUGAUAUGGGUCUUUUUUUAUUGUUGACUGAAUUUGUUUUUAAUGAGAGAUUUUAAGAGGUUACAACAACUGCCACCUGCAGGCAUCAGAAGGGCACCCCAAUACAACAAUAUUAAGCUUUUGAAUGCUGUGAUAUUCGAGUAAGAAUGUGAAAAAUGUGUACCAAUCCCUUUUUAUGUUUUCUUAUGAUAUUUACUUCAUUUAUUUACAUUUAUCAGUAUAUUUCAGUAAGGUGGGAUACGCAGUAUCUUGUUUCUAUGCUUAUUUGGAUUGCAGUCUUUAUGGUUUUUUAUGGGAUGGAGGUCAGUAAUCCUGCUGCUCAAACCUUUAUUGGUUGUUCACUGUUUUGUAAGUGUUGAGUUUGUCUGUUUUUUAUGCUUCAUGUUCUCUCACUGCCUACAUUCUUUAUGCAUUCUCUGGCUUCAUUUUGUUUUGGAUUAUGCUUUCAUGUUCCAAAUUCUGUAUGCUAUUUCUCUUUAUGCUCUUCUUAAACCCUAAACCCAGUUACUUUGAUAAUAUUUCUUAAGUGAAUAUUAUCAAUUUUCUUGAGUUGAAAUUUAUUAAGUUAUUAUUCCAAUUGAAUUCUAUUCUUAACUCAAUUGGCAAUCUUGUCCUAAUUCUGUUUAUAAUCCAGUUUUUAUUUGUAUUGCUGUUUUUAUUCAUAUUGUAGUUCUAUUCCAGGGAAUAAAAAAAGAAUAGAAACAAGAUCUGGAAUAACAACAGGAAACAGAAACAGAAACUGGAAUAAGAAUAGAAAUAGGUACAGGAUCAAGAAGUGGAAUAAGAAACAGAAUAGAAACAACAACAUAAUGUGGAAUAGGAAUAUAACCCGAAAUAAAAAACAGUAACUGAAAUAAGAUUAACCCCAUGAACAGGAAUAGUCACAGUAGCUGGAAUCUAAGUUCUUUUUCCCAUUCCUUCUUACAUUCCUAUUCUAAAUUCAGUCUCAUACUGGAAUUUAAACUCUUAUUUUGUCACUAUUUCGCAUAUAUUUUUCAUCAACUCUCAAACUUCAGUCAUUACAAAUGAAUAAGUUUUUUUGAGCCUUUCAAUAAUUUACUAUUCACUAAAGAAAAUGAGUUUCCUAACUUUUGAUGGUAUCAUUUAACUUGCAGUGUUAAUUUUGGAAUUUUAUAUGUACUUUUUAAUGUAGGGAAUUUUUUUAUUUAGUGAAUGUGAAAAUUUUUCUGCUUGUUACCCUGGUUUCUUAUGAGGUCUAUUCCAAUCUCUUUUAUUCCGUCCCAUUUUAUUCCAGCCCCUUCCCUAUUCAAACUAAAUUUCUUCCAGCUCAUUUUCUAUUCCACCCUAUUCUAUUCCAACCCAAUUCUAGCCAUAUUUUAUUCCAGUUCAUUUUACUGUUGGCCAAUUUAUUCUAGCCUAUUCCCUAUUCUAUUCCUAAUCCCAUUUUACUGUAGCCCAAUCUCCAUUUCAGCCCAUUUUAUUAAAGCCCACUCUCCAUCCAGCCCAUUUUAUUAUAGCCCAUUCUCCAUUCCAGGCCAUUCUCCAUUCCACCCCAUUUUCCAUUGUAGCCCAUUUUAUUCUAGCCCAUCUCUAUUCCAGCCCAUCUCUAUUCCAGCCUUUUUUCUAGCCCAUCUCUAUUCCAGCCCGUUCUUAUUUUAGCCCAUUCUUAUUCUAGCCUAAUCCCUAUUUGGUCUAGCCUAUUCUAUAUUCUAGCCCAUUUUCUAUUCCAACCCAAUUUUCAUCCCAGCCAGAAUGCCAGCCAAAAUCCCACUCCAAGCCCAUUCCCCCUCCAUUCCCAUUCCCAUUCCCAAGCCAUUCCUAGCCCAUUUCAAGCUUAUUCCAAGCCCAUUCUCAUAAUCUGCCCAUUCCCAUUCCCAUUUCCAAUCCAAGCCCAUUCCUCUUGCCUAUUUCAAUCCACUACCAUGCACUUGCCUAUUUCUCCUCUCUUCUCAAAAUCUCAAAGACCGUGAUGUGUUUACUUAUUUGUCUUCUUCAAUGGUGGCGUGUAUUUUAGGGUUCAAGGUGGUGCUAACUCUGACUUCUACAACAAAGAGGAUAAUGAGAGAUUUCAAGAGGUUACAGCAAGAUCCGCCAAAAGGCAUCAUGGGGCGCCCCAAUCCAACAAUACUAAGCUAUGGAAUGCUGUGAUAUCCAGGCAAGAAUGGAAAAAUGUGUACCAAUCCCUUUUUAGGUUUGCCUAUGAUAUUUACUUCAUUUGUUUCCGUUUAUCAGUAUGUUAAAUGGUUAUUCCUUGGCAUGGAGGUGAGUAAUCUUGCGACUAAAGCCUUUACUGGAUGGCAGUGCGAAUAUGAAUACAUCCAUUGGAGAAUUCAAGAGCAACUUUGUUUCAUUGCAUUGUAUAUUACUAAACGAUACUAUUGAAAGAAGCUUUAGUUUCAACCUUGAUUUGCAACUCAGAAGCAAGCAGCAAGAUGGGUGCUUCACCUGUGAUGGCAGCGUUGACUGUAUUGAGCUUGUGUAGCUAGGUUGUUUCCCAGAAAGUGCACGCAAGUGUCAAAAAUAGAUUAGGCAAUGGGAUAAACAUUACACUGCAUUGUCAAUCCAAAAACGAUGACCUUGGGCAGCAGAAUGUUGCCGACGGAAGUACCUUGUUACAGAACAAUUGUCUUUGAAACCGGACUUUCCUCAACCAGCUGUAGAAGAGCAGAUUUCUCGUUGAGAAAAGCCCUUUCUUGAAUUGUAUCUGUUUCAUUAUCUCCACAGUAAUCUACAAGAAUCUGGACA